GGGACACGUGGUAUCCUGUCUGAAUAUGGGGGGACCAUCCUCCAAGGCUAAAUACUCCUGACUGACCGAUAGUGAACCAGUACCGUGAGGGAAAGGCGAAAAGAACCCCGGCGAGGGGAGUGAAAAAGAACCUGAAACCGUGUACGUACAAGCAGUGGGAGCACGCUUAGGCGUGUGACUGCGUACCUUUUGUAUAAUGGGUCAGCGACUUAUAUUCUGUAGCAAGGUUAACCGAAUAGGGGAGCCGAAGGGAAACCGAGUCUUAACUGGGCGUUAAGUUGCAGGGUAUAGACCCGAAACCCGGUGAUCUAGCCAUGGGCAGGUUGAAGGUUGGGUAACACUAACUGGAGGACCGAACCGACUAAUGUUGAAAAAUUAGCGGAUGACUUGUGGCUGGGGGUGAAAGGCCAAUCAAACCGGGAGAUAGCUGGUUCUCCCCGAAAGCUAUUUAGGUAGCGCCUCGUGAAUUCAUCUCCGGGGGUAGAGCACUGUUUCGGCAAGGGGGUCAUCCCGACUUACCAACCCGAUGCAAACUGCGAAUACCGGAGAAUGUUAUCACGGGAGACACACGGCGGGUGCUAACGUCCGUCGUGAAGAGGGAAACAACCCAGACCGCCAGCUAAGGUCCCAAAGUCAUGGUUAAGUGGGAAACGAUGUGGGAAGGCCCAGACAGCCAGGAUGUUGGCUUAGAAGCAGCCAUCAUUUAAAGAAAGCGUAAUAGCUCACUGGUCGAGUCGGCCUGCGCGGAAGAUGUAACGGGGCUAAACCAUGCACCGAAGCUGCGGCAGCGACACUAUGUGUUGUUGGGUAGGGGAGCGUUCUGUAAGCCUGUGAAGGUGUGCUGUGAGGCAUGCUGGAGGUAUCAGAAGUGCGAAUGCUGACAUAAGUAACGAUAAAGCGGGUGAAAAGCCCGCUCGCCGGAAGACCAAGGGUUCCUGUCCAACGUUAAUCGGGGC
rnacentral:rRNA from 1 species